AUAACCUCCCGGCUAGCCAUGUUUGGUGUUCCGUCCCUCUGUCUGUUAUAACAUACACAGACUCCAAAAAUAUCUGUCUGAAAGAUCGACGAUGAAUUGUAGCAACACUUCCGCAUUGCAGACAUUUUUACCCAAGGUAACAGUCUGAACUCUUUACGUUUGCCCAGGCAAAGUGUGCAGGGCCAAAAUGUCUUGUCACUUGUCAGGGCUGGGAUCCCCAUAUGAAACUAGACCUUGCUGUUCUCCUGACAGCGAGCUCGACCUGGACCUACUAGUUGUUCUGCCGCGCCGUUUUGGUGGUGCAGCAUCUGGAGAUUUCGAAAGGGAAGAUGACCUGCUCCUUGACCUUAAUCUUCCUUCACUCCUCCUUGAUUGGUCAUCAUCAAUUCGAGGGCCGAGACGAGAUUUCAAACCGUCAACGACAGGAGGCCGCAUGUCUUUUGGACUAGGACUUUGAACAGGGCUCUGGCUUCUGCUGCGACCUCUGUUCCGCUCGC
rnacentral:lncRNA from 1 species